GGACUACUGGGGUAUCUAAUCCUGUUUGCUACCCACGCUUUCGUGCCUCAGCGUCAAUAUUUGUUUAGCGAGCUGCCUUCGCAAUCGGUGUUCUAUGUCAUCUCUAAGCAUUUCACCGCUACAUGACAUAUUCCACUCACCUCAACAACAUUCAAGAUAAAUAGUAUCCACGGCAGUUCUGCAGUUAAGCUGCAGGAUUUCACCACGGACUUACUUACCCGCCUACGCACCCUUUAAACCCAGUGAAUCCGGAUAACGCUUGCACCCUCCGUAUUACCGCGGCUGCUGGCAC
rnacentral:rRNA from 1 species